GGUGAGUCUGCAAGGAAGAGGUGGGAACUGCUGUUGUUGCCUCUUGCCCUGGCUUGAAGCUUAAAAGUUAGAAUAUCCAUUAGAGGCAGUGCUCAAGGUGAGUUCUGCUCCUCCUUUGCAGAUGAGAGAAUGGUGAGGGGGGGUGCCCACCCAUGUGGAUGCGAGCCAGAUUAGCAAGGCCUCUGCUCAAAUCCUUUAUACCGCAAUCCAACAGGGAGAUUUCAGCCUCAUUGGCCUCCCCUAGCUCAGUUUCUCCACCUACAGCACUAAAUUCCCUCAGCUUGUCCAGGGGACACCAAAGGAUCCUGUUGGGUUGUCCUCCCUCUGCUCCCAGGGUCCUCAGGAUGCUGAGACCAAACCAAUGAGCGAGUCUGAUAUGGGGACGUUCUGCCUGAGGGUGCAUCUUGAAUUGGGGAUGGCGCCAGGUCAGGGUGACAAGAGUGCCAUCAACAGGGACAGGAUUGGGGUGAGACACAUAAGGGGGAGGGUCAUAUUCUUCAAGAUCAGAAAGUACUGGGGGCGGGGGCAGAGGGUUUAUGCAGAGGAGCCUAAGACUGGCAGAAACUUACAAGGCUUCGUCAUAGCAGGUUUCAGCGUCAAAUCAUGAAACAAUUCUCCAUAGUCAUGUUCCAUCCCAUUUCCCAGUGUUCCUAAGGAACUCCAACGAUUUCAAAAUAAUGCCGCGAUCUAUCAUUCCGAAUUCAGGCCAAACAACAAGUUCACUGAGGUCAUAAAGGGGCCGUUCCUGCUGGCAAAUUUGCCUUAAUUUUUGCUUGGUCAAGUUGCUCCCCAGCCCUCCCGCCACAAUGGACCAAUUAUUUAGUGGAAUUGCACCCAUCCCUGCCGCCCACCCUGCACCCAUCCUUGCCCCUUCGGGGGAAGUAGCCAGCGCCCACCCACCCAUCCCUGGGUGGUAGAUCACUGCUUGUUUUUUAUAUUGGAUCGUAGAUCACAGGCUACUUGGAGACUUCCGGUCGGCGCCAGCGUUUAAUGGCGGUCCUCGCUUCGAGCUCCGGAGGAGGACUGCUCCGCGAGUUUGGGUCUGACCCGCUACGGCGAGCGGGGGACCCCUAAAAUCACAGGCGCUGAAGCCUGUGAACAAGGAGACUCGGUGGGCACCUUUUGCCCCCCGGUACUGUGAAAGAGCCUUUUAAAGGCUACGGAGCGGCAUCGGGGUGAGCGCGGUGCUGAGAGUCGCAACCCAGCCCGUGGAGUGAAGCCGCGUCGCCAUGAACGGAGAGCGCCGAUUUCUUCCUGAACCAGAAAUUCGACUGUAAACCCCGUGAGUAAGACGGAGGGACUGAACGGGACAUUCAAAUUUAAAUCCUGAAAUUUGGCUGAAAACGGGAAAGGCAUAAAUUAAGGAAGUCUGCCUCCCCGAUCUGCAUGGCAAUUAAAGCAACGAAAGAGUAAAGCUGCAUUUGAAAGAAAAUUAUCUUUGAGCUGUCAAACCUGACAUUUGACUUAAACUUCCCCCCAGUAAGCAGGAGAAGGGGGGAAGAAAACUGGACACUGUUAAUCUGCCUGAAAUUAACUGAGGAAAAAACAUCGUCCACUGCCCACUCCCCAGGACGGACUGCCUGAGUAAGGCACCGGGAAAGUGAACUGUCAGUUUAGACUGGAUACAAAGUUGGGGUUUUGUCUGAGACAAAGUUACGGGACUUUAAUGGAAUUACUUUGUUGAACUUGUGACUAUACUGAAAAAGUGCGACAGAAACUUUUACUGUGGACUCUUGGAUUUUUGUUGAUUGCUCUAUGUUUCCUUGUUCUUUCUCUUUUCACUUGGAUACAAUUAAAUGCUCCCUCUAGAGGGUAUAAAGAGAAACUGUUACAGUGAAAAAGAAACAGUGGGAUUUUCCACUUGCAAGUCUUUCCUGUGAGAACGACCUUGAGGAUAUGGAGUGGUCCAGCAGAAGAGAUAACAACUAGAUCCAAAGCAAAACAGACACAAAAGAAAAGGGGCUCAAUACCUGGCAUACCACCAGCUGCACAGGAAAAAGUGGCAACAGCAUCUAUGGAUUCAAUGACACAGGCACUGCUCAAAAUAAACCAAUCUUUAGAAGCACUGACAAAGCUAUCUACGGAAAAUUCAAAAAAUUGACAGAACUGACAGCAAGAUUGGACUUGAAUACUGCAAGUGUAACCUCUUAUACAGAAUCUAUCAAUAAAUUAAUUCAAGAAAGUUCUGAAACACGAAAGAUUGCUGAAAGUGCAAAAAUACUGCAGAGGAGACAAGGGAGGAGCUUGUGCCGAUUACAAAAAAAGUGAAUGAACAUGAUGCAGCCCUAUCUUUGCUGGAAUUACAGAGAAAAGAGAGAAAUUUGAAAUUGAGAUUGGUUCCCGAGAGUGAGGGAGACAGCCUUGUGGACUUCCUUACACAGAACUUUACGGAAUUUUGGCAAGAGGAGCUGCAGGAAGAAGAAUUUGAAAUAACAACAGCUUUCCGGCUGGGCAGGAGGCAAGGUAAGAAGCCAAGGGAUUGUUUGAUCACAUUGAGAUCCAAAGGAGAAAGAGAUAAAAUAUUGAACUUGCAUUACCAAAAGGCAUUGGAGAUUGAAAACAGUCAAGUACAAAUUUUUAAAGAUAUCCCUAAAUAUAUUUUGGAGGUGAGAGCCUUCUAUAAAGAUUUGGUCUACCUGCUGAAGAAAAAUAUCAUACCCUUCAGGUGGGAGUUUCCACAAGGACUGUCUUUUAACUUCAAAGGAAGGAAGGUCAAAAUAAGAACAGUUCAAGAUAAAGAACAGUUUUUGGAGAGAUAUCAGGAGGACUUGCAGAAAGGAACAGUAGAAACAACAAUACAAGAAAAAGGAGUGACAGACAUUGCAAACUUGUCAUUUGGACUCAUACCACCAUCUGAAGAUGAACAAAAGCUAGGAGCAGUCGGAGGAACAGGUACUUAAUAACAAAAUGUCUCUGCAACUUCUUAGCUGGACUUGUAAUGGUUUGAACCUUCCCGAAAAAGACGCCAAGUUUUUCAUAUUUUGAAAAGAGAACAAUUAGACCUAAUAUGUCUACAAGAGACCCAUGUGACCAGGACACAUAGGAAAUUAUUGGUAAACAAGAGACUUGGACAGGAAUUUAUUUCAUCAGACAAAGUUAAGAAAAGAGGCGUGGUGAUUUAUGCAAAAGAAAAAUUGGCUCCAAAGAUGAUAUUUAAAGAUGAACAAGGAAGAUACCUGGCAAUUGAAAUACAAGUUCAAGGAGAAAAAUCUUGAUAGUCGGAAUUUAUGCACCAAAUGACGGGAAGGCGGAAUUCUUUAAGAAGUUGCAUGAGACUUUAAUGGACUAUCUAGACUAUAGAGUAGUAAUGAUGGGAGACAUGAAUGGUGUAGUUUCCACAAAUAUGGACAAAGCACAGAGACAAGUAAUUUCUAAGGAAGGGAGACUACCAAAGACUUUUUUUGAAAUGACUGAAACUAUGGACUUGAUUGACAUUUGGAGAACAAGGAACCCUCUUGAGAGAGAGGGAACUUUUUUCUCUGAAGCAAAAAUGACAUGGACAAGAAUUGACCAAAUUUGGGUAACUAGCAGUAUGGCGCCAAGGAUCAAAAAGGUAGAAAUCUGCUUAAAGACUUGCUCCGACCAUAAUGCUGUAAGGAUGGAGAUGAAACUAACAUCAACUGGAUCCUUUAGAUGGAGAAUGAAUGACACCCUAUUUAGAGAUGAAGAGAUUUAUAAGAAGGCCCAAAAAACACUGAAAGAUUACUUUGAGAUAAAUUUGAGAACAGAAGUGGAAAAAGAAUAAUCUGGGACGCAAGUACGGCCGUGAUGCGAGGUUUCCUAAUACAACAGAACUCCAUAAAGAGGAAAAAUCAAAAUGAAAGGAAAGAAAAAUCCUGGAAAAAAUAAAAGAAGGUGAAAAGAAAUUGAGGUCUAAACCAAAGUCCCAUGAGAUUCUGAGAGAAAUAAAGCACUAUCAGGUGCAAUAUAUGGAAUUGAUGAAUCAAGAGAUAGAAUGGAAAAUAAAGCAAAUGAGACAAAAGACAUUUGAAUCAGCAGAUAAAUGUGGGAAAUUUCUGUCAUGGCAAUUGAAAAAGAGGCAAAAACUGAACACUGUGACAAGUUUAGAAGUGGAUGGAAAGAUUAUCCACAAACCAAACGAGAUAAGUAAUUGUUUUCAAAGUUACUUCAGGAAAUUAUAUGCACAAGGGCCAGUCAACGAACAGGAAAUAGAAGAAUUUGUUAAGAAACAUGGAUUACCAAAAAUUUCAGAGCAAAGCAGAAGGAUUUUGAAUGAGAAAAUAACAGGACAAGAAAUAGAGGGUGCCAUUCAGAAGAUGCAAUUGGGAAAAUCUCCAGGACCAGAUGGUUUGACCGCCAGAUAUUAUAAAGCGUUGAAGGAAUGGUUAGUACAACCACUGAAGGAAGUAUGUAAUGAAAUUUUGGAGGGGAAAAGGCACCAGAGUCGUGGAAAGAAGCCUUUAUUUCACUUAUACCGAAAACUGAGACUGAAAAGAACCAGGUUAAAAACUACCGCCCUAUAUCAUUACUCAAUGUGGAUUACAAAAUUUUUGCAGACAUUAUGGCAAAAAGACUGAAGAGAGUGUUGGUAGGGGAGAUUCAUAAGGACCAAACUGGCUUUCUUCCAGGGAGACAUAUGUCGGACAAUGUGAGGAACAUUAUAGACAUUUUGGAACUGUUAGAAGUGGACAUCAAUAGGAAGGCUGUUUUAAUUUUUGUGGACGCGGAGAAAGCCUUUGAUAAUAUUGGUUGGAGCUUUAUGAAGAAGAAUCUCCAAGGGAUGGGGGUAGGUCAAGGGUUUGAAAACGGUAUAGGUGCAAUAUAUUCUAAACAAAAAGCAAAGUUAAUUGUAAACAAUGUGGUUACGGAAGAAAUAUCUAUAGAAAAGGUACACGACAGGGGUGCCCAAUAUCCCCUUUACUUUUUAUAUUAGUCCUGGAGGUUUUGUUAAACAUGAUUAGAGGAGACCAGUUGGUUAAAGGAGUACAAGUCGGAGCUAGACAUUACAAGCUAAGGGCAUUUGCAGAUGACCUAGUACUGACCUUGCAACAGCCAGAUACUAGUACUAAAAGAGUAUUAGAACUAAUUGAGAUAUUUGGUCAAGUAGCAGGAUUUAAACUGAACAAACAGAAAACGAAAGUGUUGGACAAAAAUUUAACAUUGGCUGAAAAAGAGAAGUUUCAGAAUGAAACAGGUUUAGUGAUAACGAAAAAAGUAAAGUAUCUGGGGGUAAACUUAACAUCUAAGAAUGUGAAUUUAUUUAAGGACAAUUAUGACAAAUGUUGGACAGAGGUAAAGAAAGAUCUAGAAAUAUGGUCAAGGUUGAAACUCUCUUUGUUAGGUCGAAUUGCUGUUAUCAAGAUGAAUGUAUUGCCUAGAAUGUUGUUUUUAUUCCAGACAUUGCAGAUUUUGGACAAGAUGGACUGUUUCAAGAAGUGGCAGAAAGAUAUAUCUAAAUUUGUCUGGCAGGGCAAAAAGCCCAGAAUAAAAUUUAAGAUUCUAACUGAUGCAAAAGAUAGAGGGGGUUUGCCCUGCCGGACUUAAGACUCUACUAUGAAUCGGCGGCUUUCUGCUGGUUGAAACAUUGGCUACUUCUUGAGAAUACAGACAUUUUGGAUCUAGAAGGGUUUGACAAUAGAUUUGGCUGGCAUGCAUAUAUAUGGUAUGAUAAGGUAAAACUGCAUAAAGGUUUCAAAAACCAUAUUGUUAGGAAAGCAUUAUAUAAUGUUUGGAUGCGGUAUAAAGAUUUAUUGGAAAGUAAAACUCCCAGGUGGUUGUCACCAAUGGAAGCUAAAGAGGUGAAAAAACUUAAUAUGGAGUCUAAAUGGCCAAAAUAUUGUGAAAUUUUAGAACAAGAUGGGGAAAAAGUUAAAUUACAGAGUUAUGAGAAAUUAAAGUCCAAAGUGCGAGAUUGGUUGCACUACCUUCAGAUAAACGAGACAUUUAAACAGGACAGGAAAAUAGGUUUCCAGAUGGAGAGGUCAAAAUUAGAAACAGAACUGUUAGAACCCAAUACUAAGAAUCUGUCGAGAAUGUAUAAUCUGCUGUUGAAAUGGAACACACAGGAUGAAACGGUGAAAUCAGCUAUGAUAAAAUGGGCACAAGAUAUUGGUCAUAACAUUAUGUUUGCUGACUGGGAACAGCUGUGGACCACCGGUACUAAAUUUACGGCAUGUAAUGCCUUAAGAGAAAACAUUAUGAAAAUGAUGUAUAGGUGGUACAUGACCCCAGUCAAGCUUGCAAAAAUUUAUCAUCUGCCCAAUAACAAAUGUUGGAAAUGUAAUGAGACUGAAGGUACUUUUUAUCACCUUUGGUGGACCUGCCCGAGGAUAAAAGCUUUUUGGGAAAUGAUCUAUAAUGAAAUUAAGAAGGUUCUUAAAUGGACCUUCCCUAACAAACCUGAGGCUUUUCUCCUGGGCAUUGUCGGCCACGUGGUGACAAGCAAGGACCGGACGUUUUUUUUGUAUGCGACCACAGCAGCAAGGAUUCUUCUAGCAAAGUAUUGGAAGACACAACAACUACCCACACUGGAAGAAUGGCAGACGAAGGUGAUCGACUACAUGGGACUGGCGGAGUUGACUGGCAGAAUCCGUGACCAGGGGAAAGAGACAGUGGAAGAAGAUUGGAAGAAAUUCAAAGUUUAUCUUAGAACUUGUUGUAAAAUUCAGGAAUGUUAAAAUGUCAAGGGGUUGGGAAACAGAGAAUUGCAGCUGUAAUUAACAAUAUUAGAAGAACUUAAAAGAAAUUGAAUUGAAUAAUUAGUCGACUGAGGAGUUGCUGAAGAAAUAUAAAACAAGGAUGCAGAAAAGGGGAGGUAUGGGGAAGUCCGGAAAGUAAGGUUUAUGAAAAAAUGGUUAUGAAAUUAUACAUGUUUAUAUGUUUGUAUGUCGGUGUAUUGUGUAUUGUUUUUUUUUUUUUUUUGUGUUUGGAAAAUUAAUAAAAAUUUAUUUAAAAAAAAAAAAAGAUCACAGGCUACUUGAAGUUGGACAUGCCUGCUGUAUCAGAACACCUCACAUACCAUUGGUGACUAAUCAAAGGCAUCUCCAAAAAAGAUACCUUUGAUACAAUCUGGUCUCCCCUUUUCUCUUUUAUUGAAGAGGAACAGGGUAUUUUAAUGCCUUCAUCACAGAGGUGUCUGUGGAGGGGAUAUAUUCAUUGAAAACGUUAGGCUUUUUUGAAAAAGAAAUGCAAAAACCUACCUGUUUGUUAAGUCUGGCACCAGAGGUCCUUCUCCGAAUAGGCUUAAUAAAAUGUAGGCUUAAUAAAAAUUACUAUUAUUUAUAAGCUGCCACGUGACUGGGUUGCCCGGAGAGACAUGUUUUAGACAUUUAAAUAUAUAUACCGGUAUAUAUUUCCCAGAAUUUUAACUGAUUUUAUAUGUACUGUUUUUGUAUUUUUACUGUUGCUACAAUAAUUGCUUUUAUUUCUGAUGUUUUUGAUAUAAAGUAAUUCCCAAGAUUACUUGCCAACAAAGAUCCGUAUAGUUAAAGCUAUGGUUUUCCCAGUAGUGAUGUAUGGAAGUGAGAGCUGGACCAUAAAGAAGGCUGAUCGCCGAAGAAUGGAUGCUUUUGAAUUAUGGUGCUGGAGGAGACUCUUGAGAGUCCCAUGGACUGCAAGAAGAUCAAACCUAUCCAUUCUGAAGGAAAUCAGCCCUGAGUGCUCACUGCAAGGACAGAUCCUGAAGCUGAGGCUCCAAUACUUUGGCCACCUCAUGAGAAGAGAAGACUCCCUGGAAAAGACCCUGGUGUUGGGAAAGAUGGAGGGCACAAGGAGAAGGGGACGACAGAGGACAAGAUGGUGGGACAGUGUUCUCGAAGCUACCAGCAUGAGUUUGACCAAACUGCGGGAGGCAGUGGAAGACAGGAGUGCCUGGCGUGCUCUGGUCCAUGGGGUCACGAAGAGUCGGACACGACUAAACGACUAAACAACAACAACAAUUCCCAAGACUUCACAGGGAUAUGGGAAUCUAAUCCAUGUGUGCUACUUUGUCAACCUCGGGAUCUAUUUUCCAGAAAGUAGCUGAGUCAUGAGUCUAUGAUGCAGCAAUUAACUUCUGCCAGUUCAAUCUUGUCGCAGGAAACCCCCCACCCCAUCAUUCAGUUUGUACAAACUCUGACACACACUCAUAAACGACAUACGCUAUGCUUCUGUUAUAAAUUAUUAGAAAAUCAACCAUACAUCAGAUCUGCACCGUUCCACUUUUAUUUUACUCCAUGAAGGAAGGACUACAAAAUGGGGAAGGUUUGAUACAGGGCAGCCAUAAUCUCUUGAGCAUACCAGCACAUACACAGGAGCCCUGCCCAGUUGCUAUGCCAACACUGAUGGUCCUAGACAGAAGACCAUCAAGGUCACAAAGGACUUGCAUAUGGGAGUGGAUUCAACACGAACUGGAACAAAGGACAAUGAUCAGCUCUUCCCUCUGGGGGCAGGAAAAUGCCAACUCCCCUUUGUCCUCUGGAAAUGACUCAUGGGGAGGGGGAAAGGAGGAACCAACCAGGUGACAAGAUACUCAGGUUACCUCCACAACUCCUCCCUCAACCCCUCCUUUUUGUGAUAUGUCAAUGAUGUAGUCGUGAUGUAGUUCUAGGGGUGUAGCUUGAGGGAUUAGUAACUAAUAAAAGUUGGGGUCUUCUUUUGUUCUGGGCUUCCAUUUUGUUUCACCUGGUGGCAGGUGGGAGUCCUGUUGCGACAGUCUUCAAUAAAGACCAAGCCUACUGGCUUGUUGUUUUGCUCUGGUAUUCCUGACUGGUGUCCUUGUUUUUUUGUCCAAGGGAGCCCUCGGAUUUCUCCGUUAACAAUCUCAACACCUGUUUCUUUUUUCCUUAAUUUAAUUUUCAUAUUCCUUCUUUAGGGACAACCAUUCCAUAGGUAAAGAUGAUAUAUCUAGCUUUCCCAACAAGAAUUUUCUUCAUAUCUAAACACCCUUUGUCAAACUAAGGUUUAGACAUGUGGGGGUGGGGGUGUUUAGUGGUUAUUACAUAAGAAUUUUGCAGAUAUGUAAUUAGGUUCUGAUAGGAAUGUAAAACAUAUUCUGGUGAUCUUACAGAUAGCAGGGAGCCUUUUAAAAUGAGGCAGAUUUCCAAGUAUACCAGGUGGAAUGAGGCCUGCUCUAAUUUAGCAGUCCCAUUGACACAAGCAAAUCUUAAAUCAGCCUCCAAUCUUGACCCUGGUUCACAGUCAGCAUAUAAACCUUGCGCUUUAAGAUUACAGUUAAAGGAAAGUGAUCACUUUCAGUACUUACAGCCUUCUUAAAACUUGGCACCAGAUUUAGAGAUACCAUUAUGUGGUCGAUUGUUGAUGCCCCCAUGCCAGAUGUAUAUGUGAAUUCAUCAUAUUUAUCUCCCUCAAUGCUCCCCCCUCCCACAUUCAAUAUCACCAAAUCUGUUUACCAUUUAUAGAUGAGACAUUCACCAAAAUGUUUCUAAAUCACUCAAUCAUUGGGGCCCAGUCUGGCAUUAAUCAAUCAAUCAAUCAAUCAAUCAAUCAAUAUUUAUUACGGCAAACAGCCAGUAUAGUCUGGCAUUAAAGUCACCUUCCAAAAUCAC